CCACAAUCUCAUUCUCAAACUUGGCAACCUUUUUCACACAAUCAACUUUCAUUCAUAUUUCCUAAUUACACCAUAGUCUAGCAAGUAUACAAGAAAGAGAAAGAAAAAAAAAGGGGAAGGACGUGUGGGUGUGCUGGAGCAGCAGCUCCUACCCCUAGCUCUGCACCUUUUGGCUAGCACACUCAAGUGUGCAGUCUUUCAGCUAGCUUCCCCAUAUCAGCCCCAUCUAAUCUAACCCACACAUCAGCCACCCUAUCUCUGCAUUCUUCUCCCUAGCACACUCAAGUGUGCAUACCACAUCCAACAACUCCUUUUUGUUCCAGACUUCAGCAGCUAUUAACCUCCAUUUCGUUCCCAUUCCACACUUAGAAAGUUUCAG
rnacentral:lncRNA from 1 species